AACGCUCCGUGAUUGGCUCGGAGGAACCCAGGGCGGAAGUGCCGUGCAGGGCUUGCCAGCACUAUGGGCGGAGGCUGCCGGGCCGGGCCGGCGAGGCGCGGUGCAGCAACGAGCAAACUGUGUACGAUCCCGGGAGCAUAGGCACGGUCUUGUGUAGCAUUGUCAUUCUGCCCCACCGCUCUGAUAUCUAACAAAGUAAUACAUUCUGGAUGUUGUCUACAAAUUCUUUCCUUCCUUAUGUAAGAGGUCGAUGCGCGUCGCCUAGUUUGUCACAGAGCGUCACUGAAGUACUGUUUUAUUUGUAUUUGUGAAGACAGCAGAAUCAAAGACAGCAGGUCGGUGACUCCCACCGAGAUGGUCAUUAAGAUAAAACAGUGAAGUUUCUAGCAUAUAUUAAAAAGCCUGCAGGAAUUAGCACAGCUUGCAGGAAAGCGUGUUGGAAAGAGAUGAUAUUUGAGAGCAAGCGUUAAAAUGUCGUCUUUUUACCAAGACUGAUGAGAACUGAUGCGUCUGUCCUGCGUUUGGAUAGAAGAUGCCCUGGAUUUAAAGACGGUGUAUAUUAAAUGAAGUAUGAGAAGAAACAGCUUCUUCGGACACUUGCGCUCCUCUUCUUCAGCUCGUGGAGAAGGCUGACAGCCUGUCUCACUCUUGUCAGUGCUAUCCCACCAGCUCCUUUAGGAGCCCAGCACCGCGUUUGGCCUGUUGCGAUCUUCCCGCUCCCCUCAUUUCUGUGCUGCAACGCCACCAUCCACAAGAAGUCAGACAGGAGAAAAGCUCUUUCCAGAGAGAUGGAGAAGGAAUUAAUUAGACCUCUGCCUCAUCCUGCAAGACCAGAAGACAUGGAGUAACUGUAAGCUGCGAUUCUCAGGAGACAUACUAAGAGUCUCGGGUUCCUUUUCUGCCCGCCCCCCAAGGCCUUGGGCACGUUGGGUUCACCCUGGGAAGGGCACGUUGCUCAGGGCAGUUAUUUCCUCCCCUAGACGACGUGGGGUACAUUUCUCUGCUGCACUUGUGGUUUUCCACCUGUAGUUUUUCACUUGUGGUUUUCCACGUGGUUCGCACUGCUUCCAUUAUUGAGAAAACGGUUUGGGAAGCUGUGUCUGCCACUUCUCAGGAUUUUCUGCCACCACCUGCUGGCAAAAAAAAUCAGUAACGCAGGUGGAGCCAUGUAGGACUUCUCAGAGGUAAGCCUUCAACGUACGGGGACCCCUAAACUCAGUGAGCCAAGCACGCAAGACAAAUGUCCGUGGCACAAAGAUCAAGGACGACUUCUCAGAGGUAAGCAGCUUUCCCUUUGUUUUCCCAUCCUCUCAGGAGCCCUCUUUAUGAUGCUUGUACACACUUCAGGCUCACAACACUCAUUUUCUCCUCUACUUAGUAUUCCUAGUCCCUGGCUAACCCGUCCUCCCUCCCCCCACUUUCCAAAGACCUACGUGCUCUGCUCAGGUCCCUCCUGAGGUCUUACAGAUCUUUUAAAUCUGCUCAGCAUUCUUUCCGGCUUGUUCUGUGCCAUUAUUUUUUCCCUGCUCCUUUUGAGAAUGUCUGUACCCUUUUCAGAUCUCGAUUGGGUUGGCUUUUUUGAACCCAUCUGCAUAGCCUUUUGUUUUUUAGAUAGUCUACUAAGGUAUGUUACUUCUCUGGUGAGUUAUUUUACUACAUUGAAUUGUAUUUUUGUGGUUUGUAAUCUGUUACACUCCUAGAUUAUUUCUACCUAUGUAAAGAAAGGUUUCAGCUAAUUACAGUCAAAAACAGUUUUAGUUACCUACUUGGUAAUAUUGUCGUUUCAAUAAUCAGGACUGAAGCAAAAGCACAGGAAUUGUUGCCUCUAGUAACGCUUCACACACUGUUGAGCUAAGCCAAAUAAAAAACGCAGCUGCUGCUCUCUUUAUCCCUUCCUGUGCUUUGCCCCUCCUCUUUCCCAGGUGAUUGGGGCAGGGUGCCGGGUGGGGCCUAAUGGUAUAUGAGCCGCAGGUGUCCUGUCAGAGAGCUCAUUCUGCCUGAGCUGCUCUUUGGGUAGGUAAACCUUAGGAGGAAUCGGUCAAAGGAAACAGCAACUGUCAAGUUCUUGUUCGGCAACUCGGUGACUGGUUUGAUCUACUUCUCAGAUGUAGAGGCAAAUGGACUGCUCUUUUGAAAUGAUAAAAUAAAAAACAUGAAUUUUGUCAAAUGUG